UAUGAAUGGUUUGAUGAGAAAAUAAUUGUUUCUUUUUAAUAAAAUGAAUUUUAAUUUUUAGUAAAAAUGCUAAAAUAUAAUUAAAAGACAAGAAGACCCUAUAAAUCUUUAUUUUUAAAAUAAUAAUAAUAAUAAAGAAAAUUAAUUUUUAUUAUUAUUUAUAAAUUAUAUUGGGGUGAUAGUGAAAUUUAAUUAACUUUUAUUUAUUUAUAAUAUUUAUUUAUAAAUUAAUGAUCCAUUAUUAUGAUUAAAAAUUUAAGUUACUUUAGGGAUAACAGCG
rnacentral:rRNA from 1 species